rnacentral:rRNA from 1 species
AUGGCUCAUCUCACUCAACUCUUGAAGACAGCGUGUGUACCAGGAAAGGAGAAUGGCAGAAAUGCAAGUUGUGACUACUUGGAGUGGUGCUCUGUGUGCUUCCUUCUUCCCUUCCUGGGACGCCGCUCUCCCGCUGCUCUAACGCCAUGGAUUGACAAAUUUGGACGUACUGGACUGGCACAAGAGCACAUUUUGGUUCCAUUUUUACAGGUAAGUAAAGAAUUCACCCAUGCUGAUGCUUGUUCAGUUGAGACAAUCUGCUCCCUGGCUGCUACUGGAACGAGAUGUGUGAUGGUUCAUCUCACUCAGCUCUUCAAGACAGCGUGUGUACAAGGGAAGGAGAAGGGCAGAAAUGCAAGGGUGACUGCUUGGAGUGGUGCUUUGUGUGCUUCCUUCUUCACUUCCCGGGACGCCGCUCUCCCGCUUCUCUGA